rnacentral:rRNA from 1 species
CCUACGGGUUGCAGCAGUGGGGAAUUUUGGACAAUGGGCGAAAGCCUGAUCCAGCAAUGCCGCGUGCAGGAUGAAGGCCCUCAGGUUGUAAACUGCUUUUGUACGGAACGAAAUGCCUGGGGCUAAUAUCCUCGGGUCAUGACGGUACCGUAAGAAUAAGCACCGGCUAACUACGUGCCAGCAGCCGCGGUAAUACGUAGGGUGCAAGCGUUAAUCGGAAUUACUGGGCGUAAAGCGUGCGCAGGCGGUUUUGUAAGACAGUGGUGAAAUCCCCGGGCUCAACCUGGGAACUGCCAUUGUGACUGCAAGGCUAGAGUGCGGCAGAGGGGGAUGGAAUUCCGCGUGUAGCAGUGAAAUGCGUAGAUAUGCGGAGGAACACCGAUGGCGAAGGCAAUCCCCUGGGCCUGCACUGACGCUCAUGCACGAAAGCGUGGGGAGCAAACAGGAUUAGAUACCCGGGUAGUC